rnacentral:rRNA from 1 species
UACGAAGGGUGCAAACGUUGCUCGGAAUUAUUGGGCGUAAAGCGCACGUAGGCGGAUUGCUAAGUCAGGGGUGAAAUCCUGGAGCUCAACUCCAGAACUGCCUUUGAUACUGGCGAUCUCGAGUCCGGGAGAGGUGAGUGGAACUGCGAGUGUAGAGGUGAAAUUCGUAGAUAUUCGCAAGAACACCAGUGGCGAAGGCGGCUCACUGGCCCGGUACUGACGCUGAGGUGCGAAAGCGUGGGGAGCAAACAGG